rnacentral:rRNA from 1 species
UCGUCAGCUCGUGUCGUGAGAUGUUGGUUAAGUCCGCAACGAGCGCAACCCUUGUGUUUAGUUGCCAACAGGUUAAGCUGUGCACUCUAAACAGACUGCCGUGGAUAACACGGAGGAAGGUGGGGAUGACGUCAAAUCAUCAUGCCCCUUAUGAUCUGGGCUACACACGUGCUACAAUGGUCGGUACAACGGGCAGCGAAAGAGCGAUCUGGAGCGAAUCCUAAAAAGCCGAUCCCAGUUCGGAUUGCAGGCUGAAACUCGCCUACAUGAAGUUGGAGUUGCUAGUAAUCGCGAAUCAGAAUGUCGCGGUGAAUGCGUUCCCGGGUCUU